rnacentral:tRNA from 1 species
AAGACUCUAGUAAUAACUAUUACCCUAUCUUGUCGAGAUAGUAUUGUAAGUGAAAAUCUUACGAGCCUUU